AUGAACGCUAGCUACAGGCUUAACACAUGCAAGUCGAGGGGCAGCGUGGAGCAGCAAUGCUCUGACGGCGACCGGCGGAAGGGUGCGUAACACGUGAGCGACUUGCCCGUCACAGGGGGAUAACCGGCGGAAACGGCGACUAAUACCCCAUACGAUGUGAUGCUGCAUGGCAUUGCAUUGAAAGAUUCAUCGGUGGCGGAUAGGCUCGCGGGACAUUAGCUAGACGGCGGGGCAACGGCCCACCGUGGCGACGAUGUCUAGGGGUUCUGAGAGGAAGGCCCCCCACACUGGGACUGAGACACGGCCCAGACUCCUACGGGAGGCAGCAGUGAGGAAUAUUGGUCAAUGGGCGGAAGCCUGAACCAGCCAUGCCGCGUGAAGGACUAAGGCCCUACGGGUCGUAAACUUCUUUAGACGCAGAGCAAUAAGGUCCACGCGUGGACCGAUGAGAGUAUGCGUAGAAUAAGCAUCGGCUAACUCCGUG
rnacentral:rRNA from 1 species